rnacentral:rRNA from 1 species
AGUGAACGCUGGCGGCAGGCCUAAUACAUGCAAGUCGAACGGCAGCACAGUGGAGCUUGCUCCAUGGGUGGCGAGUGGUGGACGGGUGAGGAAUACAUGGGAAUCUGCCCAGUCGUGGGGGAUAACGUAUGGAAACGUACGCUAAUACCGCAUGCGCCCUUCGGGGGAAAGUCGGGGACCGCAAGGCCUGACGCGAUUGGAUGAGCCCAUGUUCGAUUAGCUAGUUGGCGGGGUAACGGCCCACCAAGGCGACGAUCGAUAGCUGGUCUGAGAGGAUGAUCAGCCACACUGGAACUGAGACACGGUCCAGACUCCUACGGGAGGCAGCAGUAGGGAAUAUUGGACAAUGGGCGCAAGCCUGAUCCAGCCAUGCCGCGUGAGUGAUGAAGGCCUUAGGGUUGUAAAGCUCUUUUACCAGGGAUGAUAAUGACAGUACCUGGAGAAUAAGCUCCGGCUAACUCCGUGCCAGCAGCCGACGG